rnacentral:misc_RNA from 1 species
GAUGAAGAACGUAGCGAAAUGCGAUAAGUAAUGUGAAUUGCAGAAUUCAGUGAAUCAUCGAAUCUUUGAACGCACCUUGCACCCUUUGGCUAUUCCGAAGGGUAUGCCUGUUUGAGUAUCAUGAACACCUCAACUCUUAUGGUUUGCCAUGAUGAGCUUGGACUUUGGGGGUCUUGCUGGCCUGUGGUCAGCUCCUCUCAAAUGGAUUAGCUUGCCAGUGUUUGGUGGCAUCACAGGUGUGAUAACUAUCUACGCUUGUGGUUUUCCACCAGGUAACCUUCAGCAAUGGGGGUUCGCUGGGGCUCAUAAAUGUCUCUCCUCAGUGAGGACAGCUCUUUGAACGUUUGAUCUCAAAUCAGGUAGGACUACCCGCUGAACUUAAGCAUAUCAAUAAGCGGAGG